ACAGUGACAAGUGCCUUUACCUGCUCAACCUUCUCCCUGACCUUUUGUUUGUUUAAAACUCCACUGUCACUAUGUGGUGUUAUCUGGCCACUAAUUUAACAGGAAAAAAAAAAAAGUCAAUACAGCUACUUCAGGACUCUGAACUUGGAAAACAUUCCUUUCUAGGUUUAAGUUUAAUCCCACAAAACCAAACUAAUAAAACAAACUAUGGGCUGGAGAGAUGACUCAGUGGUUGAGUGUUGGCCGUACAAUCAGGAAGACUUCAGUUUGGACCCCAGCACCCAUAGAACAAGCUGAUCCUCUUUUGGCAUCAGAGAUACACACAUCUGCACAACUAUACACACAGUGAAAUGAACACUGAUAGAAUACCCAGGAUCUUCCCACCAUCAGAUCUGUGUUGCCACACACCAUGUGUUCCACCUGUAGACCAGAAGCUGCACUUAUCCCAGGAGAGCCAUGAACAGAGCACAAUGUGUUUGUAGGUAAUCAAAAGGUUGGACUUUCCUGAUUUAAGGCUAAGAGGACCUCAUGUGAAUUUGGCAAUGUGAUGCCACAGUAGUCUUAAGAUGCAGAAAACAGCACUGGGGAGACAGCUCAAUCAAUAAAGUGCUCUCCACUCCAAGUGUGAGAGCCGGAGUUCCACCAACACCUGUGUAAAAGCUGGAUGAAACAUGAUUCUCUGUACAUAUGUGCAAGCACACCCACACACAUGAACACAUAUCUGUAGAAUGAAAAUAAAAAUACAUUUUUUUCUUUUGGAAAUAUAUUGGAAUGUUACAUUAUUAUCUGUAUACUGAGGUGAUCCUUUCCUUCUCAUUUUUGACGUAUCUGCUAUCUCCUAAAGUGUGUUUACUAUAGAAAUCAUAAAAUUUCCAUGGUAAAACAAAAACCAGCAAGAGGAGUCUCUUUUGCUACCUGAAACAAAAGUUUAUGUAAGAUCAUUUAUAUUGACUUCCUAAUCAUUUUACUAGGCUUUACCAAAUGCACAUUAAGCUCAUAGGUUCGAUUAUAUAAAAUUGGAAAGCCUAUGCCUUUUACAUUUCAUGUUUCUUAAAAGAUAAAGCUUUUUGUGUCUGUUUGGCUACCUCUAGAGUUACUGACAGAUAUGCAGCUGACCUGUGUUUUUUGAAGGGCACUUGGCUGCCUCUUAAUGUUAUUUCAUGACCCUGGGACCAUGUUACUUCUGAGUAUACUUCUGAGUAUUAUAGAGAUGCAGAAGUUUAUAAUCACUCGGGACAUUAACAUCAUCUCCAAAUAACUCAUUUCCAUAUAGACUUUGAAUAGCAUUCCUUCUAUCUUAACAAUAAUAUGAAUAGUGAAUAUUGCAGUCGCUUGUCCAGUUGUAGCCAAAAGUGUUUCUUUCCGUUCUGACUUCCCACCUCUUUACUAUCAGUAUGCUUUUGUAUGGG
rnacentral:lncRNA from 1 species